rnacentral:rRNA from 1 species
UACGUAGGGGGCUAGCGUUGCUCGGAAUCACUGGGCUUAAAGGGCGCGUAGGCGGGUUCGCAAGUCUGUGGUGAAAGCCCCCGGCUUAACCGGGGAAGGGCCGUGGAUACUGCGAAUCUUGAGGAGGGUAGGGGCAUCUGGAACGGUCGGUGGAGCGGUGAAAUGCGUUGAUAUCGACCGGAACUCCGGUGGCGAAGGCGAGGUGCUGGACCCUUUCUGACGCUGAGGCGCGAAAGCCAGGGGAGCAAACGGG